GAGUUUGAUCGUGGCUCAGAUUGAACGCUGGCGGCAUGCCUUACACAUGCAAGUCGAACGGCAGCACGGGAGCUUGCUCCUGGUGGCGAGUGGCGAACGGGUGAGUAAUGCCUAGGAAUCUGCCUGGUAGUGGGGGACAACGUUUCGAAAGGAACGCUAAUACCGCAUACGUCCUACGGGAGAAAGCAGGGGACCUUCGGGCCUUGCGCUAUCAGAUGAGCCUAGGUCGGAUUAGCUAGUUGGUGGGGUAAUGGCUCACCAAGGCGACGAUCCGUAACUGGUCUGAGAGGAUGAUCAGUCACACUGGAACUGAGACACGGUCCGGACUCCUACGGGAGGCAGCAGUGGGGAAUAUUGGACAAUGGGCGAAAGCCUGAUCCAGCCAUGCCGCGUGUGUGAAGAAGGUCUUCGGAUUGUAAAGCACUUUAAGUUGGGAGGAAGGGCAGUAAGUUAAUAACCUUGCUGUUUUGACGUUUACCGACAGAAUAAGCACCGGCUAACUCUGUGCCAGCAG
rnacentral:rRNA from 1 species